AGUUUGAUCCUGGCUCAGGGUGAACGCUGGCGGUAGGCCUAACACAUGCAAGUCGAACGGCAGCACAGAGGAGCUUGCUCCUUGGGUGGCGAGUGGCGGACGGGUGAGGAAUACAUCGGAAUCUACUCUGUCGUGGGGGAUAACGUAGGGAAACUUACGCUAAUACCGCAUACGACCUACGGGUGAAAGCAGGGGAUCUUCGGACCUUGCGCGAUUGAAUGAGCCGAUGUCGGAUUAGCUAGUUGGCGGGGUAAAGGCCCACCAAGGCGACGAUCCGUAGCUGGUCUGAGAGGAUGAUCAGCCACACUGGAACUGAGACACGGUCCAGACUCCUACGGGAGGCAGCAGUGGGGAAUAUUGGACAAUGGGCGCAAGCCUGAUCCAGCCAUACCGCGUGGGUGAAGAAGGCCUUCGGGUUGUAAAGCCCUUUUGUUGGGAAAGAAAUCCAGCCGGCUAAUACCUGGUUGGGAUGACGGUACCCAAAGAAUAAGCACCGGCUAACUUCGUGCCAGCAGCCGCGGUAA
rnacentral:rRNA from 1 species